rnacentral:rRNA from 1 species
CGCAUGGGCGAAGCCUGACGCAGCCAUGCCGCGUNGAAUGAUGAAGGUCUUAGGAUUGUAAAAUUCUUUCACCGGGGACGAUAAUGACGGUACCCGGAGAAGAAGCCCCGGCUAACUUCGUGCCAGCAGCCGCGGUAAUACGAAGGGGGCUAGCGUUGCUCGGAAUUACUGGGCGUAAAGGGCGCGUAGGCGGAUCGUUAAGUCAGGGGUGAAAUCCCGGGGCUCAACCUCGGAAUUGCCCUUGAUACUGGCGAUCUUGAGUAUGAGAGAGGUAUGUGGAACUCCGAGUGUAGAGGUGAAAUUCGUAGAUAUGGCGGAAGAACACCAGUG